rnacentral:rRNA from 1 species
GACGAACGCUGGCGGCGUGCUUAACACAUGCAAGUCGAACGGAAAGGCCCUGCUUUUGUGGGGUGCUCGAGUGGCGAACGGGUGAGUAACACGUGAGUAACCUGCCCUUGACUUUGGGAUAACUUCAGGAAACUGGGGCUAAUACCGGAUAGGAGCUCCUGCUGCAUGGUGGGGGUUGGAAAGUUUCGGCGGUUGGGGAUGGACUCGCGGCUUAUCAGCUUGUUGGUGGGGUAGUGGCUUACCAAGGCUUUGACGGGUAGCCGGCCUGAGAGGGUGACCGGCCACAUUGGGACUGAGAUACGGCCCAGACUCCUACGGGAGGCAGCAGUGGGGAAUAUUGCACAAUGGGCGGAAGCCUGAUGCAGCAACGCCGCGUGCGGGAUGACGGCCUUCGGGUUGUAAACCGCUUUCGCCUGUGACGAAGCGUGAGUGACGGUAAUGGGUAAAGAAGCACCGGCUAACUACGUGCCAGCAGCCGCGGUGAUACGUAGGGUGCGAGCGUUGUCCGGAUUUAUUGGGCGUAAAGGGCUCGUAGGUGGUUGAUCGCGUCGGAAGUGCAAUCUUGGGGCUUAACCCUGAGCGUGCUUUCGAUACGGGUUGACUUGAGGAAGGUAGGGGAGAAUGGAAUUCCUGGUGGAGCGGUGGAAUGCGCAGAUAUCAGGAGGAACACCAGUGGCGAAGGCGGUUCUCUGGGCCUUUCCUGACGCUGAGGAGCGAAAGCGUGGGGAGCGAACAGGCUUAGAUACCCUGGUAGUCCACGCUGUAAACGGUGGGUACUAGGUGUGGGGUCCAUUCCACGGGUUCCGUGCCGUAGCUAACGCUUUAAGUACCCCGCCUGGGGAGUACGGCCGCAAGGCUAAAACUCAAAGGAAUUGACGGGGCCCCGCACAAGCGGCGGAGCAUGCGGAUUAAUUCGAUGCAACGCGUAGAACCUUACCUGGGUUUGACAUGGAUCGGGAGUGCUCAGAGAUGGGUGUGCCUCUUUUGGGGUCGGUUCACAGGUGGUGCAUGGCUGUCGUCAGCUCGUGUCGUGAGAUGUUGGGUUAAGUCCCGCAACGAGCGCAACCCUUGUUCACUGUUGCCAGCACGUUAUGGUGGGGACUCAGUGGAGACCGCCGGGGUCAACUCGGAGGAAGGUGGGGAUGACGUCAAGUCAUCAUGCCCCUUAUGUCCAGGGCUUCACGCAUGCUACAAUGGCUGGUACAGAGAGUGGCGAGCCUGUGAGGGUGAGCGAAUCUCGGAAAGCCGGUCUCAGUUCGGAUUGGGGUCUGCAACUCGACCUCAUGAAGUCGGAGUCGCUAGUAAUCGCAGAUCAGCAACGCUGCGGUGAAUACGUUCCCGGG